UCUUUUAUUUUCUACCCUAGUUGCCCCUUCUUUGUCAAUUUUUUCCCAUUUCCCUCCACUGUGCCACCCUAAAGAUCCUUUUUCCUUGUCGUCCUUCCCCCUUCGUUGGUGCUGGUUUUGGAAUUUUUUCUUCCGCCCUUUUUUUUGUUAUAUCACUAUUUUUCCAGCCUUGAAAUAGUCUCUUGAACCACUGGAAAAUUGGCCUCCAUUGUUUCCCCAAAGAUCUCCAUUAUUGCCCCUUUACCUUGCUAGAUCCCCAUCGUACCCAAUUUUGGUGAUGUGCUGCUCCUAGAUCUACCAUUAAGGGCUACUGAUUUUUAUUAUUUUUACCACUUAUUUCCAUAAAGGUUUAGAUAUAUUAAAAAAAAUCUAAUCAGUCUUUAAUCGUGUAUGAUUUUGGAAAUUUUGAGCUUAAUCGUUUGACAACUCAAAUCUGACGAAUCGAGAAGCAUAAGAGCGGUUGUUUGUCCGUUAAUGUGUAAUUUCGGCUUCGUGUUACUGAAUGUGUUAUUUUAUUGAAUUAAGGUUAUAAAUGGAUGAUUAUUAUUUUUUCAAUAUUUACGAUCUUAGGUGCUAACUUAAAAGCUCCGGAUCAGUGAUGAGACAUUCACCCUUCUUGCCCUCGUUUCUCACUAAAUUAGUGUAAAUGAGCAAAUUGGCUUGGAUUUUAUAACUGAGAUAUGAGGAUGUUUAAAGGCUGAUUUAGCAACACUUUAACUUGAUAAAUGUUGUAUUUUAACUUAGGUUCAAUUUAAGUCUAAAGGAAGAAUAGCGGGUUUCACAAGUAAUGCUACAGAUGUGCAAAAUUAAAGUGUGGGUUCUAAUCUAUAAACUUGAAUGUCUAAAUAAUAUUUUUAGCGAUUAGAUUGAUGUUUAAGCUUGUUUGUUGGGCUUAGUUAAAUGGAUAAGCAAGUGAUUUUAAGGUGGCUGAAUCAGGAAUGUUUCGUGCCUCAACUAAAUGGCAUGUUCGCAAAGAUGCAUGAUUGACUGAUUGUUUGUAUGACUGGUAUUGGUAUGAAAUAACAUGAAUGGUUUAAAAAUAUAA